rnacentral:rRNA from 1 species
AUGAACGCUAGCGACAGGCUUAACACAUGCAAGUCGAGGGGCAGCACAGGUAGCAAUACCGGGUGGCGACCGGCGCACGGGUGAGUAACGCGUAUGCAACUUACCUAUCAGAGGGGGAUAACCCGGCGAAAGUCGGACUAAUACCGCAUGAAGCAGGGGCCCCGCAUGGGGAUAUUUGCUAAAGAUUCAUCGCUGAUAGAUAGGCAUGCGUUCCAUUAGGCAGUUGGCGGGGUAACGGCCCACCAAACCGACGAUGGAUAGGGGUUCUGAGAGGAAGGUCCCCCACAUUGGUACUGAGACACGGACCAAACUCCUACGGGAGGCAGCAGUGAGGAAUAUUGGUCAAUGGGCGUAAGCCUGAACCAGCCAAGUCGCGUGAGGGAUGAAGGUUCUAUGGAUCGUAAACCUCUUUUAUAAGGGAAUAAAGUGCGGGACGUGUCCCGUUUUGUAUGUACCUUAUGAAUAAGGAUCGGCUAACUCCGUGCCAGCAGCCGCGGUAAUACGGAGGAUCCGAGCGUUAUCCGGAUUUAUUGGGUUUAAAGGGUGCGUAGGCGGCCUUUUAAGUCAGCGGUGAAAGUCUGUGGCUCAACCAUAGAAUUGCCGUUGAAACUGGGGGGCUUGAGUAUGUUUGAGGCAGGCGGAAUGCGUGGUGUAGCGGUGAAAUGCAUAGAUAUCACGCAGAACCCCGAUUGCGAAGGCAGCCUGCCAAGCCAUUACUGACGCUGAUGCACGAAAGCGUGGGGAUCAAACAGGAUUAGAUACCCUGGUAGUCCACGCAGUAAACGAUGAUCACUAGCUGUUUGCGAUACACUGUAAGCGGCACAGCGAAAGCGUUAAGUGAUCCACCUGGGGAGUACGCCGGCAACGGUGAAACUCAAAGGAAUUGACGGGGGCCCGCACAAGCGGAGGAACAUGUGGUUUAAUUCGAUGAUACGCGAGGAACCUUACCCGGGUUUGAACGCAUUCGGACCGAGGUGGAAACACCUUUUCUAGCAAUAGCCGUUUGCGAGGUGCUGCAUGGUUGUCGUCAGCUCGUGCCGUGAGGUGUCGGCUUAAGUGCCAUAACGAGCGCAACCCUUGCCACUAGUUACUAACAGGUGAUGCUGAGGACUCUGGUGGGACUGCCAGCGUAAGCUGCGAGGAAGGCGGGGAUGACGUCAAAUCAGCACGGCCCUUACAUCCGGGGCGACACACGUGUUACAAUGGCGUGGACAAAGGGAGGCCACCUGGCGACAGGGAGCGAAUCCCCAAACCACGUCUCAGUUCGGAUCGGAGUCUGCAACCCGACUCCGUGAAGCUGGAUUCGCUAGUAAUCGCGCAUCAGCCAUGGCGCGGUGAAUACGUUCCCGGGCCUUGUACACACCGCCCGUCAAGCCAUGGGAGCCGGGGGUACCUGAAGUCCGUAACCGCGAGGAUCGGCCUAGGGUAAAACUGGUGACUGGGGCU